rnacentral:lncRNA from 10 species
CCUGCGGCUCACCGCGUUCACACGCUCUGGAGACAGCACACAGCCUGCGGCUCACCACGUUCACAUGCUCUGGAGACAGCACACAGCCUGCAGGGUAACUCUAUUAGCACCCUUUUCUCCUUGGAUUUUCCUGAAUUCCCUCUCCUGUGUGUCUCUUAAUCCUCAGUCUUACUAAACAAAAAAGAGCAGGAAGAAAUCCUAGGCACAUGUGAAGGCAACUCCCCUCUUUUCCCUGGGUUUUCUGUGGCCUCUGCUGGAGCACUGGGUCAGGAGCAGUGUCUGCUUCUGUGGCUCAGCCCGACUGCACCCUGGCAAGGAGCGGGCAGGCAGAGGCCGUGCAGGUUACAGAAAGCAUCCUCAGAGGCCCAGAGGGGCAGGUGUGGGAAAAUCAAACUGUCUACCACAUCGGUCACAGUUUAUGAGGAAAUUGUUCAACAACAACAGCACCUCCAGCCCAGCUUCUCUGAGAAGGAGUGGGCCAUCUGAGGCUCGCGAAGCAGGUGCUGCUGUCAUCCGAGCCGGACUCACCAGUGUAAGUCAGCCUGGUGCUUAAAGGAAAGGUGAAAGCCUUCGGGAUCCCCUGGGACCCAUUGCAAAGGGCGCACAGAAUGGAAUAAAUAGUGAAGACCAAAAUAAAAGGACCUUAAGGGAUGGGGGGGACGUCAAAGUCCGCGUUGGAUUGAAUGUCUGAACAAAGGAGACCAAGGAGAAGCAGGAGAGUCGGAAGUCCUGGGCCCAUGGGACAAGGCGGGGAUGCUGGGGAGGAAGCAGCAGGGCCCAUGCGUCACUGUGGGGUAGGGAGAAUCACAGGCUCAGAGGAUGCAGCCUCAAUACCUCCUGCUGCCGAGGACCUUCUCCUGCUCCGUGCUCCCUGCAGACUGAGGACCUCCUGCUCCAUGCUCCCUGCAGACUGAGGACCUCCUCCUGCUCCGUGCUCCCUGCAGACUUGGACCUCCUCCUGCUCCGUGCUCCCUGCAGACUGAGACCUCCUCCUGCUCUGUGCUCCCUGCAGACUGGGACCCCCUCCUGCUCCGCACUCCCUGCAGACUGAGGACCUCCUCCUGCUCCGUGCUCCCUGCAGACUGAGGACCUCCUCCUGCUCUGUGCUCUCUGCAGACUGAGGGGACAGUGGGGCGGUGCUCCUUCUGUGGGGCCUCAGCCGGGACGCAUCAGCAAAUGUGCACCCCCCUUGACAGCUGUCCAUCUGCUGACGCAUGUGGCAAUGAAAGUGGCACCCAAAGGAACCUGAAAUAAACCCAGCAACUCGUCAGAAAGAGAGCUCACCUCUCAGACACGUAGGCAGAUGUCUUCAUGAGGGCAUGUAAGAAUUAAGCCUUCAGAGUGUGACCAACCUCAGUUUGGAGGCUGCUUCUGUUGAUCUCCAGUUAUGUGACCUUGAGCAAAGUCUACCAGAUUCAGCUUUUCCUCUAAAAAACAGGAAGAAUGACGCUGCCACUCAGAGCUGCUGCAAGGACUCAGCCAGAUGAAGCAGCCUCACGAUGGAAGGAGCUCAGAUGCUGAACAUGGGGGAAUCAGGACCAUUUAUUUCACCUGCAGGCGGGGCAGGCAUUGGAGACUCAGAGACAGACAGGGCCUCGGGUGAAGGAAACCUGUUCUGUUGAUGGAAGACAAAAGCUACCUCCAGUGGGGUUCACUCUUCCUUCUACAUUUGAAACCCUUGGGACCAGAAGUGUUUCAGAAUUCAGAGUGGCUGUGAUUUUAGAAAGGUGAUAAAGUGCACACAGUGAGGAUUAUGCAACAAACCCAGAGAAUCUGGAGUGCCCCCGAAUCAAGCACAUGAAUUCUUCUGCAAAGAAACCUGAAUAUUCACAUUAAGUGGAAUAAAUAAAGACUAAAAAUAGUUCCGUGUCAGUUCAGAAGAGGAUUCACCGAAUGAGUGAGAAUGUUCAGUGCUUAGGGUGUCGAGGUUGGGCUUCGGGGUUCGAGGCUGUGAACUGGACUGCAUGUUGCAUUUGAGGACCUCGAGGUUAGAGGAUCCUGUGGUCUGUUCCUAUUUAUGCAGCUCGUGGUGGAACUUGUGUUCCAACCCAGGUCUUCUGUCUCUGACUCCGGCGCGUUCUCUGCCACACCCAGCUCUUGGGGUCGUAUUGACUAAGGUGGGUCCGUAACUGUCACUGCAGUGGGCACUCAGGGGAACCCUGGAAAGCCACAGAGAAAAUCCACUAGCACAACUGCACCUUGGGGAAAGCGCUUCGUGUGUUUGCUUCAGCUAUUCAAGGAGUCCUGAGCUCCUGUACGAUGAAAAUGUUUCUUCAUCUCUGACACUUCUGUGGGGCUUCGCAUACAAUGCUGAGUUACAUCGCGAGUUAUCAACAAACAUUUCUGGAAUGAAUGAUCCACUGAGUUGGGAGAGAAAAGCCAAGGGGGGAUUUUAACACAGGGGGCUUUCUAACUGGGCCUAGAAACUGGUGACUCCAUGCCCCUAGGAAUAAAACAAAAUAGGAGAGAACUGAAAUACAAGGUUACACAUCAACAAGAAUUCCACAUUUUAAAAAGAGAGAGAGAGAUGAAAGAUCUACAGGGGCUGUGUGUCAGACCCUGAUGUCUCACCUCUCGGAAGGGCCUUCCUGGACUUCAGGCCCCAACUGUCCUAGCAAUUCCAAGAAAAGGAACUGGGAAAUGAGGACCAUCCAUCCAGGAAGCAUGUUUCUGGUCCCAGGUGGUCGGUCACUAGGCGUUCCUCCUCUGCCCUUAGAAACAUGCCAGGGGCCGUAUUUCUCACAGAGCUCCAGGGGCUGGGGUGGCUGAGGGCAGGAGGGUGGGGCCUUCAUCUGCAGCGUUUACUGGUUUCCACACUGUAAAUAUUCCUGCUAGGACCCGUGUCACUUAAACUGGCUGGCCAAAUUCUUGCACAUUUCACGCUCAGCUCUCUCCAGUCAGCCUCA